rnacentral:lncRNA from 1 species
UAACCUCUCUUUAUUUGAGGACAUUGUUCACCAAAUGAAAGGAAAAGGCAAGGCGAAAGAAGUGCAAAGUUCAAAAGCUGUAAUAAAGAGAAAGGAAGGGCAAGCUUUAUCCUCCAAAAAUAACUCAGAUGAUCACCCUCCUUAGAGGAAGCGGGUUCAAUCCCCUCUUAGGGAGCACAUUCUAUUUUAGAAGCUGGUCAACAUCACUCACAUCACUUUCAUGCCCGGUCUACAAGAAGUUAUUUGAAGUGUCACAUGCCCAAGGAUCCAAUUUGGGAUAAACUCGAUUUGAUCCUAUAGCCACCAGUAUGAAAACCUUUACACAAUUUCCCUAUUUGUUAAGCAAAUUAAGGAUUAUCCUCUAUCGAGGAGAUUCAAAAUUAGUAUCAUGGAUAUGUAUGAUGCAUCUACAGAUCUAGAGGAUCACUUGUUCAGGUUUCUUACUCACAUGCAGUUGGAAACUGCUGCAAACAAAAUUUGUUGUAAAACUUUCCCAAUGUUCUUGAAGGGAAGGACUCGGCUUUGGUUUCAAGAAUUGCCUCCAGGGUUAGUCAGGUCUUUCUCUAAAUUAGCAAGGUAGUUUGCAAUAUAGUUUGUCCCUUCUAAAGUUUAUUCCAAGAAUGUAGCACAUUUAAUAGUGAUAAAGCAAAGGCAUGAUGAGUGUCUCAUGAAAUAUAUGACUCGUUUCAAUAACAAAAGUCCCCAACUCUGAGAUAAGGAUGAAAAGGUGGCAAUGGUAGUGUUUAUAAAUGGCUUGAGAAUCAAUAAGCUAUAUUAUAAACUUACUAUAUUAAAAUCACCUAGGACGUUGGAAGAGAGAAAAUAAAGAACUUUUCUUGAGAGAAGACUGCUUGAAAUAAGGGUUCAUAGGCAUCACACCUAAGCUCUGAUAGUAUAGAAAAUGUCCAUCAAUUGCGAAUUGGAAGGCAGCUUUAUGAAUCUUUGGUCCCUUAACAAUACUGAACCAUGGUUAACUUGUGGGCAAUGUAUGGAUACUGAGAUCGUUAAUAGAAACACCCUAUUAUGGAUAAAAAUGAUGGGGGUCGUGGAUGGUGGGAAGCUAGCUGGGCUUGAACAAUACCAUGCACCUGAAAUGCCACAUCGAUGGUGGCAGCAUAUGGUUUGCCUACUGCUUAGCUAAGUGGAGCCCAUAACGGACUGUCCUCCUAGCAUCAAAAUCCCCCGUGGCGACCUACUAGACUACAUUACAGGUGACCUUCUUUGAUGGAGGAGAUGGUUGGUUGUCAUCUGGGCGACCACUCUUCGAUGCGAUCUUCUUUUCCUUACCCUGCCUUUUAUUCUAUUCAGUAUCUGUGGAGGGUUGAACAACAAGAAUAUUGACCUAUUGGGCGUGAAAGACUAACCUGUUGUUGGUCAGUAAAAGACUAAGCAGGAGUUCUUGAAGACAGGAGUUGGGAAAAUCUGCCAUUAUGACUAAAAAAAAAAAAAAAAAGGGGUUAGAUUUCUAAGUGUAAAGAAAAAGAGAAAGGGAAAAUUAUAAGUCUCAUAUUCUUUCUCAAUUAAAUCCCUAUCCUGGUCACUGGAUAGAAAACCAACCAGUUUGGUUGCUACAGUUUGACAGGUAAAGAACUCCUUACCAUAUAAUUUGAUUUUAGAACUUAGGAGUAAAUCAAUGGCAUUCAUGUCUAAGUCGGCAAGAUAUGGAUCAGUUUCGACUUCCCUAACCUUCCAAAAAUUAUGGGGAAAGAAGUUGAUUUUCACAAAGAGAAAUUCAUUCUUCCAAUUUUAAUGGAAGAAAGAACUUCGUAGAAAAUAUUGAGAGUGUCCGUGCUAUCUUUUGCUAGUUGAAUGCCUAGCAAAAUAGAAUCACUUGAGUUGAGAAAUUUUAUAUAAUACUCACAGAAUAAAGGAAGAGAAUAAGGAAUUACACAAAGAUAAUGGUAGAUUAAAAGGCCUAUGAUAGUUCUAACAAAAUUGGGGUGUAGUUGGGUGAUCCUAAUCAUCCAAUAAGUAAGGAUGUUAAAAGGAGCAGUUAGGAUAGGAAGUCUCAGCACUAAGAUGAGCUAUUCCUUAUAAAUAGCAACGUAUCCAAGAGGAGAUCGGUUGGCUCUUUCAUCAAGGCUAAUUGCCCUAGGCUCGAAGGACUCAAGGAUAGAAUAAGUGGCCACUAACUUGUCUACGUACCCUUGAAAAAGAGUAGAGGAAAAAUUGGGGAUAUGGCAGAAGUUUGUGAUAGCAGGGUCAGGUAGGUUGGUUUGAGCAUUCAAGUUGUGGCCUUGGUCAUGCUCCCCAACCUGACUAUCUCUCUACUCAAUAUUGAGCACCUCUAGAGGGACAUAUUAGACAAAGGGUGUUGUUCUAAGGCAUUAGUCUAUUCUAUAGGAUCUAUUCUGAGAUAUACGGAGAGAGUUCUAGAAGAGAGUUCUAGAAGAAAUGGGAGAACUCAUGACUUCUAUUGGCUCGGACAAUUCUAGGAUAUACUCAAAAUUGGAGUUUUGGUCAAAAAAAGCAAAAAAUGAAGAUGAAGAAGGCGAAGAAGAAGAAAUGAUUUCUACCAUAAUAACUUUAGAAACAUGUCUGUAUCUUGGUGAAAAUGUAGUGAUAUCGAAGUGAUCAGUCAUAAAGGAAACAUAAAAGAAACUUACUGAUUAAAACAUAAGGAUGAGAUUGCCUGAAGAAUGAAAAAAGCAAAUGUUCAUUGGAGAGAGAAGCUGGAAUUUUCUGGCUGGAUGAUUGCACAAUAUUGAGAGUCUAGAACUU